GGCGGACGGGUGAGGAACACGUGGCUAACCUGCCCACCAGAGGGGGAUAACCUCGGGAAACCGAGGCUAAUACCGCAUACGCUCGACAGAGGGGACUCUGGCGAGGAAAGCCCGCAAGGGGCUGGUGGAGGGGGCUGCGGCCGAUUAUGCUGGUUGGUGGGGUAACAGCCUACCAAGGCGGUGAUCGGUAGCUGGUCUGAGAGGACGAUCAGCCACACGGGGACUGAGACACGGCCCCGACUCCUACGGGAGGCAGCAGCAAGGAAUUUUCCCCAAUGGGCGCAAGCCUGAGGGAGCAACGCCGCGUGGGGGAUGACGCAUUUCGGUGUGUAAACCCCUUUUCGGGAGGACGAAGAAAAUGACGGUACUCCCGGAAGAAGGACCGGCUAACUACGUGCCAGCAGCCGCGGUAAGACGUAGGGUCCGAGCGUUGUCCGGAGUUACUGGGCGUAAAGCGCGCGCAGGCGGUCACGUACGUCGGGUGUGAAAGCCCCCCGCUCAACGGGGGAGGGUCAUUCGAAACGGCGUGACUGGAGGCAGGGAGAGGUCGGUGGAAUUCCCGGUGUAGUGGUGAAAUGCGUAGAGAUCGGGAGGAACCCCAGUGGCCAAGGCGGCC
rnacentral:rRNA from 1 species